rnacentral:rRNA from 1 species
UCUGUGUCCCACGCUGUCGGUUCAUCGCUCGCGGUGUUUAACUGGCAUGACUGUGGGACGUCCUACCGGUGGGCUUAGCUCCUCACGGGGGGCGGCCCAACUAAUAUCCCAUCGCGGUGCUCUUUACCGAGUGUCGAGGUGGGCCGGUACGUUUACUUUGAACAAAUUAGAGUGCUUAAAGCAGGCUACCUUCGCCUGAAUACUGCGUGCAUGGAAUAAUGGAAUAGGACCUCGGUUCUAUUUUGUUGGUUUUCGGAACCCCGAGGUAAUGAUUAAUAGGGACAGAUGGGGGCAUUCGUAUUGCGACGUUAGAGGUGAAAUUCUUGGAUCGUCGCAAGACGGACAGAAGCGAAAGCAUUUGCCAAAAAUGUUUUCAUUAAUCAAGAACGAAAGGGAUUGGGGCUUGCAAUUAUUCCCCAUGAACGAGGAAUUCCCAGUAAGCGUGAGUCAUAAGCUCGCGUUGAUUACGUCCCUGCCCUUUGUACCCCCCGCCCGUCGCUACUACCGAUUGAAUGAUUUAGUGAGGUCUUCGGACUGGUGCGCGGCAAUGUUUCGGCAUUGCCGAUGUUGCCUGGAAUAUGACGAACUUGAUCAUUUAGAGGAAGUAAAAGUCGUAACAUGGUUUCAGUAGGUAAACCUGCGGAAGGAUUAUUAAGAUACCGCCCUAGUUCUAACCAUAAACGAUGCCAGCUAGCGAUCCGCCGAAGUUCCUCCGAUGACUCGGCGGGCGGGCAGCUUCCGGGAAACCAAAGCUUUUGGGUUCCGGGGGGAGUAUGGUUGCAAAGCUGAAACUUAAAGGAAUUGACGGAAGGGCACCACCAGGAGUGGAGGCUGCGGCUUAAUUUGACUCAACACGGGAAACCUCACCAGGCCCGGACACCGGAAGGGUUGACAGAUUGAUAGCUCUUUCUUGAUUCGGUGGGUGGUGGUGCAUGGCCGUUCUUAGUUGGUGGAGCGAUUUGUCUGGUUAAUUCCGAUAACGAACGAGACUCUAGCCUGCUAAAUAGGCGUGAUUCAUGGUAUCUCGAAGGCCCUCGACUUCGGUCGAUCGGUUUUUACUACCGACGUACGAACAAAUCUUCUUAGAGGGACAGGCGGCUUCUAGCCGCACGAGAUUGAGCAAUAGCAGGUCUGUGAUGCCCUUAGAUGUUCUGGGCCGCACGCGCGCUAUACUGAAGGAAUCAGCGUGUCUUCCCUGGCCGAAAGGCCCGGGUAACCCGCUGAACCUCCUUCGUGCUAGGGAUUGGGGCUUGCAAUUAUUCCCCAUGAAGGAGGAAUUCCCAGUAAGCGCGAGUCAUAAGCUCGCGUUGAUUACGUCCCUGCCCUUUGUACACACCGCCCGUCGCUACUACCGGUUGAAUGAUUUAGUGAGGUCUUCGGACUGGUGCGCGGCAAUGUUUCGGCAUUGCCGAUGUUGCCGUGAAGAUGACCAAACUUGAUCAUUUAGAGGAAGUAAAAGUCGUAACAUGGUUUCAGUAGGUAAACCUGCGGAAG